ensembl:lncRNA
CCAGAAGUGAUAUCUCCACCGCUUACAUCUUAAUUCCUGAUCAUCCCAUGAUGUUCUCCAGCUUCAGCUCACCCACUUAUCCCACAGCAGAAGCACAGCUGUGCUCAGAGCACUCCAUACCCCCUCCUGCCCCUGGUACUUGCGGUCGCCAUUGGAUCACGGCUUCAGCCAAGAAUAUGGAGAGGAUGCUUCAUCCCUUCUGCUGGGCUGCAGCCCUGUGUGAUUAUAGCACUGGCCCUUACAGAGAGCCAAAGAAGCACAGAAUCAUUUGAGUUGGAAGGGACCAACUGAGCGGUGACCCUCCAUCACGCUGGAGGCGCUUGUGGCCAGAGGUCUGAGUCAACUCUGGACGGCCCUUAGAUCUAAGCAGCAGCGAGACACCAGAAAGAAGAGGCACGUUUGGUGCUCCGGCAGUGCCCAGCAAAGCACGGCAUGGAAUGGUGCCCUUCUCUUGCUGAAAAGUGCCUUUACGGGGACACCUUUUAGAUGCAAUCAGCUAACCUGGUGACAUCGGAUGUGUGAUCGUAGGGCCUCCUGGGGACUGGUCUGUGCAGAAGAAGGUGACUGCAAGAAGCUUUCUGACCUGCCUGCCUUUUCUUUCCAUAGUCUUGUUAAACCAAGCACAGGCUAAUCCCUCAGCUGUGCUCUUAGAGGUACUGGCUACCCGGCAGGAAGGAGCAACCUGACUUCAUCAGGCAGAAGAGGUGAUGAGUGGUGCAGGGAAGUGUGUUUUUCCCCUCAGAAGAGCAUUAACAGCUAAGACCUCCAGUCCGAUGGACUUGCUUGGUGCUCUUCCAAGCUGAGAUUUAGGAAAAGCAACUACACAGCAUUUCCUACUUCCCCCCAUGGGACCCCAGUGAUUUAAUUGGCUAUGAAGGGCAGGGAUGUAUCUCAUACAGUAGCUGGAUGCUAUUGUCAGCGUGCCACACUGCUUCUUGGAGCUCAGUGAAGAGAGAAGUUAUCAAGCAAUGCUUCCUCUUCUGAACUGAGCACAUGGGUCACUCUGCCCACAGGAAUUGCACGUGGCAGGUAGCUUUUUGUUCUUCUAGGUAACUGGGAAAGCCAAUGUGUCACUCUGGGCCGUGAGAGCAAGUGGAGCUGGAAUUCACACCUUAACUAAGGUGAUGUAUAUUCCUCGUAGCACAAAUCCUUUUCACAUAAACACACUGGUGUUAUAAUACGUGAAAGCUCUGUAACCUCAUCCAAACCCACGCAUGUAACAGGAUAACGUAUUUU